UGUGUGUGUGGAAAGAGGGUGAUUUUGAAGGGAAACAAAGAAAAUGGAAGAUUGAUGCAAAGAUUUGGGCGUACACAACUUGGAUUUCAAGAUCUUCACAAGAUUAAGAUUUGAGCUUGGUUUGAGAUUUGGUGUUGGAUAAGAAGGGAUUAAGCAAGGGUUUGACGAAUUGGCUAAGGUAAGUGCAUUAUUGUGAAUUUGUGUGUUGAAAUUGAUAUUGUUGGAAGGGAAAUGAGAUGUAAAUGUUAUAAAUUAGGUUAUUUGAACUUGGAAGGUUGGUGGCUAGAGUUGUGGUGAAGUUUUGCUCAAACGAGGUGAUAUAGCUACUAGCGCUAGUGCUCCGAUUACGGAUCAGCAGGGAGGCGCGUGACGUGGAUGGCCUGGACUAGUGUUGGUGUGGUGGUUUGCUUUUAUUAUGUUUAUGUAGUGUUUAUGUUAUGGAUGAAUGAUGAUUUUUGUUGGUCAGGCCUGAGGCCUUGGUAUGUACAUGCGUAUGGGGAUUUAUGA